rnacentral:rRNA from 1 species
CCUACGGGUGGCAGCAGUGGGGAAUAUUGCACAAUGGGGGGAACCCUGAUGCAGCGACGCCGCGUGAGUGAAGAAGUAUUUCGGUAUGUAAAGCUCUAUCAGCAGGGAAGAAAAUGACGGUACCUGACUAAGAAGCCCCGGCUAACUACGUGCCAGCAGCCGCGGUAAUACGUAGGGGGCAAGCGUUAUCCGGAUUUACUGGGUGUAAAGGGAGCGCAGACGGCUGUGCAAGUCUGGAGUGAAAGGCGGGGGCCCAACCCCCGGACUGCUCUGGAAACUGUAAAGCUGGAGUGCAGGAGAGGUAAGCGGAAUUCCUAGUGUAGCGGUGAAAUGCGUAGAUAUUAGGAGGAACACCAGUGGCGAAGGCGGCCUGCUGGACAGAAACUGACGUUGAGGCUCGAAAGCGUGGGGAGCAAACAGGAUUAGAUACCCUUGUAGUC